UCGCGUUCGCACGGGAUUAAUAUUACCCAAGGUAAUUUCUCCGGACCGUUUUACGGAAGGUAAAAGUGUCUGUAAAUGUCACCGACAUACUCCGUUAUGUUUACUGACAUGGCGCGUCCGGACGGGACUACAUUACCUGGUCUAUGGUCCAGACCUAUGGUCCAGACCCUUGUGUGGAGCUCAGCUAAACGCCUCUGGUGGAGCAUGGCGGAACUACAAGGGUCUGGCGAGAGUCAGGCUACCUGGGUCCUGCAGUAACUGUCAACGUACAGAGAUGAAGGCAAUUUGUAAGGUCCGGCAGCCUGACUUUGAAUCAGAUGAUGGAUGCCCUAGACCUAAUCGAAAGGAGCACACGUUUUUAGGUUUGUUGUAAUAAAUAAACUGUAGGCUAAAAUAAAGUAUUCUGUCUAACUUA